GACAGAGGGUGCAAACGUUGUUCGGAAUUACUGGGCGUAAAGCGCGUGUAGGCUGCUCGGAAAGUCGGAUGUGAAAGCCCUGGGCUCAACCCAGGAAGAGCAUUCGAUACUCCCGAGCUCGAGUCCCGGAGAGGAAGGCGGAAUUCUCGGUGUAGAGGUGAAAUUCGUAGAUAUCGAGAGGAACACCUGUGGCGAAGGCGGCCUUCUGGACGGUGACUGACGCUGAGACGCGAAAGCGUGGGGAGCAAACAGG
rnacentral:rRNA from 1 species